rnacentral:miRNA from 1 species
ACACAAUAUACGAUGAACAGA